AGACCGACCGGAUACACGGGUAGGGCUUCCGCUUUACCCGUCUCCCUCCUGGCGCUUGUCCUCCUCUCCCAGUCGGCACCACAGCGGUGGCUGCCGGGCGUGGUGUCGGUGGGUCGGUUGUUUUUUCUCUCACCGUUGGUGUCCGUGCCGUUCAGUUGCCCGCCAUGGCUGAGCUGGAUCCGUUCGGCGCCCCUGCCGGCGCCCCUGGCGGUCCCGCGCUGGGGAACGGAUUGGCCGGCGCCGGCGAAGAAGACCCUGCCGCGGCCUUCUUGGCGCAGCAAGAGAGCGAGAUUGCGGGCAUCGAGAACGACGAGGCCUUCGCCAUCCUGGACGGCGGCACCCCCGGGCCCCAGCCGCACGGCGAGCCGCCGGGGGGUCCGGAUGCUGUUGAUGGAGUAAUGAAUGGUGAAUACUACCAGGAAAGUAAUGGUCCAACAGACAGUUAUGCAGCAAUUUCACAAGUGGAUCGAUUGCAGUCAGAGCCUGAAAGUAUCCGUAAAUGGAGAGAAGAACAAAUGGAACGCUUGGAAGCCCUUGAUGCCAAUUCUCGGAAGCAAGAAGCAGAGUGGAAAGAAAAGGCAAUAAAGGAGCUAGAAGAAUGGUAUGCAAGACAGGACGAGCAGCUACAGAAAACAAAAGCAAACAACAGGGAGAUGGAAGGGAGUCAAGGAUGUUGCCAUGUAUGUGCCAUCUCUGCCCUAAGCCAAUAUCAUGAAGAAAUCAACAAGAGGUGGAAUAAACUGAGCAAUUCAUCACCGUAUUAAGCUGGAUAUUCCUGUUUAGUAAAUAUCUUUCCCUAGCUGGUCAGUGCUGCCUCCUCCCUCCCUUUCAUGGCAUUGAAUGGUGAGAGUGCAAUACCCUCAGCGGCGCCUAAGAGUCAGCAGUGAGCGCUCAGGACCGUCACCCACCUCUGCGACCGAUGACCCUCUCUUUGGCUCUGGCCCCAGCCGGCCUUGCGCUGUUCCUUCUCAAGGUUUUUCCUGGCUCAUCUUUGUGCCCCCUCCCCUGAGGGUCCUGGAGGUCUGAGCCCUCUGGCCGCCUCUCCUCUCUCCUUGCACUCCUCCUCUCAUGGAGCGACCCCGUCUGUGCCACCUUCUCACCUUCCAUGUCACACACCUUCAGCCUUCACUGAGGAGAGAGCAGGGCUGCAGCAUCGUGUUCCAGUCUUAUCCCUCACGGAGCCGAGAACUAAAAAUUGAAACAGAGAAACCUCCUGACAAGGCCGCUGGCAAGUUCAAUGGGAACAACUCAGGUUUUCAGAAAGAAGUGUGAUCCCUGGAGCCAGCGGGUUCAAAAGAACGAAGAGAUUUAUCAAGAAUGAGACAUACCAGACCAGCUGCGUUGCUUUCCAUUGACAGGAAGCAAAUCAGCUGCUCAGGAAAAGGUCAAGCAUGGCACCUGGUCUCAGAGAGGUGUCCGUCAAAGGCUGUCAUAACAGCCCUAUGGACAAGAAGGAGACCUGGGCCAGGAUCUCCAUGAACUGUCCUAAAAUUUCCAAGAGAAGAAGACAUCCGUCAAGUAGAAGACAAAAAGGGAUGCUGACCAGGGAGGCCGGAUGCUGGAUGUGGUCUAGGAGGAAGCCUUGGAAUUUUCUCACUCUGGAUUGUGGAACCACAAAGUCAGCCUGGAGCUGCCUACAUCUGGACACCUAGGCUCCUGUCAGAGCCAGUUUAUUAUUUCCAGUCACUCAUUACUGGGAUUCUCCUCUCCCUGGGGCGUUAUGAAGGGCUUCAUUCAAAUGCUGCCUCUUCCAUGAAGUCUUCCUUGAUCCCUCUAAUUAGAAGUUACCAAGUGACUUGCCUUGUCCUGUAAAGAUCUGCAGUGAGAUGACGCAGGACACAGGAAUUAAAAGAAAUUAAAGAGGCCGGGCGCAGUGGCUCACGCCUGUAAUCCCAGUAAUUUGGGAGGCCAAGGCGGGCGGAUCACCUGAGGUCCGGAGUUCAAGACCAGCUUGACCAACAUAGAGAAACCCUGUCUCUACUAAAAAUACAAAAAAUUAGCCAGGCGUGGUGGUGCAUGCCUGUAAUCCCAGCUACUCCAGAGGCUGAGGCAGGAGAAUGGCUUGAACCUGGGAGGCGGAGGUUGCUGUGAGCCGAGAUCGCACCUUUGCACUCCAGCCUGGGCAACAAGAGCGAAACUCCGUCUCAAAAGAAAAAAAAAAGAAAUUAAAGAAUGUGUAAGCAAAAACUCAGUUGUAUGUAAGAAAACCCAAUUCUCCCUGAGAAAGAAAAAAAGCUAAAGUCCUUUAAAAAUUGACUGCCUGUUUUUCUGUGGCUAGUGAGCCGUAUCUCUCCCUUUCCCAGGCAUUGUGAAGACUCUGUUUCUCUAGCAGUGUAGCUGCAAGGUCACUAGGCAGAUAAUCUCAAGUCGCAAAACAUGUUGUUCCUUGGAAAGUAAGAAAUGAUGUAAUGCAUGUCUUAAUUAAAUAACUGUCUUUGUUUCUUGCUUCUGUAAUAUGCUUCCCCCUGCACAGAUCUCCCCCCGCCCCACAAAAUGCUUAAAAGGUAGCUUGACUCUUUGUUCAUGGCUCAGUCCUUUGGAUGUUAAUCCGACUGGGUCGGUGCACCUAAAUAAUUAAAUAAUUCCUCCUCAA